rnacentral:rRNA from 1 species
AUUGAACGCUGGCGGCAGGCCUAACACAUGCAAGUCGAGCGGAUGAAGGGAGCUUGCUCCUGGAUUCAGCGGCGGACGGGUGAGUAAUGCCUAGGAAUCUGCCUGGUAGUGGGGGAUAACGUCCGGAAACGGGCGCUAAUACCGCAUACGUCCUGAGGGAGAAAGUGGGGGAUCUUCGGACCUCACGCUAUCAGAUGAGCCUAGGUCGGGUUAGCUAGUUGGUGGGGUAAAGGCCUACCAAGGCGACGAUCCGUAACUGGUCUGAGAGGAUGAUCAGUCACACUGGAACUGAGACACGGUCCAGACUCCUACGGGAGGCAGCAGUGGGGAAUAUUGGACAAUGGGCGAAAGCCUGAUCCAGCCAUGCCGCGUGUGUGAAGAAGGUCUUCGGAUUGUAAAGCACUUUAAGUUGGGAGGAAGGGCAGUAAGUUAAUACCUUGCUGUUUUGACGUUACCAACAGAAUAAGCACCGGCGAACUUCG